rnacentral:rRNA from 1 species
UAUGAACGCUGGCGGCGUGCCUAAUACAUGCAAGUCGAGCGAACAGAUAAGGAGCUUGCUCCUUUGACGUUAGCGGCGGACGGGUGAGUAACACGUGGGUAACCUACCUAUAAGACUGGAAUAACUCCGGGAAACCGGGGCUAAUGCCGGAUAACAUUUAGAACCGCAUGGUUCUAAAGUGAAAGAUGGUUUUGCUAUCACUUAUAGAUGGACCCGCGCCGUAUUAGCUAGUUGGUAAGGUAACGGCUUACCAAGGCAACGAUACGUAGCCGACCUGAGAGGGUGAUCGGCCACACUGGAACUGAGACACGGUCCAGACUCCUACGGGAGGCAGCAGUAGGGAAUCUUCCGCAAUGGGCGAAAGCCUGACGGAGCAACGCCGCGUGAGUGAUGAAGGUCUUCGGAUCGUAAAACUCUGUUAUUAGGGAAGAACAAAUGUGUAAGUAACUGUGCACGUCUUGACGGUACCUAAUCAGAAAGCCACGGCUAACUACGUG